CCUACGGGUGGCAGCAGUGAGGAAUAUUGGUCAAUGGACGAGAGUCUGAACCAGCCAAGUAGCGUGAAGGAUGACUGCCCUAUGGGUUGUAAACUUCUUUUAUAUGGGAAUAAAAUGUUCCACGUGUGGGAUUUUGUAUGUACCAUAUGAAUAAGGAUCGGCUAACUCCGUGCCAGCAGCCGCGGUAAUACGGAGGAUCCGAGCGUUAUCCGGAUUUAUUGGGUUUAAAGGGAGCGUAGGUGGAUUGUUAAGUCAGUUGUGAAAGUUUGCGGCUCAACCGUAAAAUUGCAGUUGAAACUGGCAGUCUUGAGUACAGUAGAGGUGAGCGGAAUGCGUGGUGUAGCGGUGAAAUGCUUAGAUAUCACGAAGAACUCCGAUUGCGAAGGCAGUUCACUGGACUGCAACUGACACUGAGGCUCGAAAGUGUGGGUAUCAAACAGGAUUAGAUACCCCUGUAGUC
rnacentral:rRNA from 1 species